rnacentral:rRNA from 1 species
AUUGAACGCUGGCGGCAUGCCUUACACAUACAAGUCGAACGGUAACGCGGGGCAACCUGGCGACGAGUGGUGAACGGGUGAGUAAUGUAUCGGAACGUGCCCAGUUGUGGGGGAUAACUGCUCGAAAGAGCAGCUAAUACCGCAUACGACCUGAGGGUGAAAGCGGGGGAUCGCAAGACCUCGCGCAAUUGGAGCGGCCGAUAUCAGAUUAGGUAGUUGGUGGGGUAAAGGCCCACCAAGCCAACGAUCUGUAGCUGGUCUGAGAGGACGACCAGCCACACUGGGACUGAGACACGGCCCAGACUCCUACGGGAGGCAGCAGUGGGGAAUUUUGGACAAUGGACGAAAGUCUGAUCCAGCCAUGCCGCGUGCGGGAAGAAGGCCUUCGGGUUGUAAACCGCUUUUGUCAGGGAAGAAACGCUCUGGGUUAAUACCUCGGGGUAAUGACGGUACCUGAAGAAUAAGCACCGGCUAACUACGUGCCAGCCGCCGCUAUAACAC